AUGUACUUAUUUUAUUCUUCAUCCCACUGCUGUCAUUUCUAAGUAAGUAAGCGCGUAUGUCUAUUACACGUAUUCUAAAACUUUCAAAUAUACAGCAUGCACGUGCUAGCACUUAUUUUUUAGCAGCGUUUAAUGAACUGGUAUUGAAUUUCACAAUAAAAGUCUACCACAGGAGAUGGCGCCAAAUCCUCCAAUGCACGCAAACCUUCAGCCAGUAAAUCCACCGUUACGCAUAUGGGUUGAUGUUAUUUAUCACUACCAUAUUUCUAGAAACGAUGUAAAACCAAAUUGUUCUGUUGUGAAUGUGAUAGAUUUGCACUUCAAUAUUUUUUAAUUCCUCGACUUAGUUUUUAAGACCGAUUUUGAUCAGUGUCUCUUAUUUGACAUUUUUUAGAGUAAAAACAUGUGCAGAGCGAGAGACUUGUGCCAGACUUUCUCCAUCUGUCAUCCGGGUGAAAAACUGGCUUCAGUCUGAGCCGAUCUCACACUGGAUAUCAAAGAAAUAGGUUGGCUUCCCAUCCCAAGGUUUCCUUGUUCGUUUGUUUUUUCUUCUUCAAGUCAAAGCUUGCAAGGAACCGGAAAUUCAUCAGGUGCUUGUGUGACAGUAAACAACAUGCCUGCCUGGUCAUGUGAUCAAGAAAUGGCAAAAAUAUGCUUCUCCCUGACAAACAGGUCUUUCUGUCUUUGCAUGCUAUGAACAACCAAACCUGCAUCAUCAAGCCUGCAAUGAGCACAGCUGAGGAGGGAUUCAGGAGAUCCCCGCUGAUGAAAAGCAUGAAGGAAUCAGAGGGGAAAAGAUUGUAUAACAUUACACUGCAAGGCAGCAAUGUCUCUAACACGGGGUUCACAGGAAUUGGCACAUUGGUGCGAGAAUAAUAACUUGAUGAGAACCUCAGCUCUAACCACAUGUCUUGGAAAAAUGAAACAUACUGAACAUGGAGACACGAGGACUCAAACUAAACCUGAAGACGAAGAAGAGGGAAAAGUGGAGGAGAAGGAGGAAUGAACUUAAACUUCCACGACACAAAUCAAAAACUAUUGAUGCGACACUGAAACUCAUCAAUGACCAACAUGAAUCAAAUAUUCAAAGAUGUCACAAGAAAUAAAGCUGUUAAAAUAAAAGAUCUAAGAAAACAGUAAUUGUAACAGGCACCCAACUCAAACUUGAUUUGGUUCACUCACACUAGAAUAAAAACAGGACUAC